rnacentral:rRNA from 1 species
UACGGAGGGUGCAAGCGUUAAUCGGAAUUACUGGGCGUAAAGCGCGCGCAGGCGGUCCUUUAAGUCUGAUGUGAAAGCCCACGGCUCAACCGUGGAAGGUCAUUGGAAACUGGGGGACUUGAGUACAGAAGAGGAAAGCGGAAUUCCACGUGUAGCGGUGAAAUGCGUAGAGAUGUGGAGGAACACCAGUGGCGAAGGCGGCUUUCUGGUCUGUAACUGACGCUGAGGCGCGAAAGCGUGGGGAGCAAACAGG